CUUGAUGGAGCUUGUAAUUCUUGUCCCAUGUUGUUUCUUCCUCGUAGCUUUAAUAAAGUUCCUUUAUGAUUACCUGUGGGUACCUCUCCGUAUACAGCAUCUGAUGAAUUCACAGGGAAUCAAAGGACCUCCUUACAAAUUCAUCCAUGGAAACAAUGAAGAAGCUACCAAGAUGAGAGAAGAAGCAUUAAGCAAACCUAUGGCCUUGAGGCAUGAUAUAUUUCCUAGAGUGCAGCCACAUAUUUACACCUGGAUCAACAGAUAUGGUAAGAUCCAUGCAUGUUUUUCACUAUAGUGUUCCAAUAUAGUAGUAAAUGAAAUUUUGUAAGUAAUUAAAAGCUGACUUGGUUACUAAUAAAAGUUGUUUAUUCUGAUGAAAGAAGUUUUUUUACUUGAUUAUUAAUAAAAAAUUAGGAUUAUUUUAGUAAUAAAUAAUCAACAAUUGUAUCUAUUUUUAACAGAUGAUACUAAUCAAAUAAACUUCUAUUAAAUAGUUAUAUUUUUAUAAGUAGACAUUAGAAUUGGUAUAGAUAGGGGAGAGAUUUCAUUUUUAUGUUAUGAAAUAUUAAGACACGCUAAAAACCCAAAAACAAAAAAUUUCUCUAUUCUCCCUCAUCUUCAAAUAUUCAUAGGAUGUUUUAUCAAGAACUAUUGCAGAAGUUUUUAUAGAAUAUGAUACUUUUCCUAAUGUUCAGUGUACUAUUUUUCAUUAAUGCAAAAUGUAGAUAAUUACUGGGUUUCAUUAUAUUCUCGACACUUAUUUGUUUGUAACAUUUUUAACGCCUCAAAAUAUAAAUGAGAAGAAAUUGAAUCAUGAAAAAAGUGGCGUUGGUUAAUUUUUAUAAGUUUAUUUUUAUUCUUACCCACCAGUUCUAAGAAAAGAUGUACCCUUUUUUUGUUUGAUUAGGGAGGAAUUAUAUUUAUUGGAAUGGUAUUCGAGCUGUAUUAGUGAUUUCAGAACCUGAACUAGUCAAAGAGGUUCUGAAAAAUAAUGAAAAUACAUUUCCAAAAAAGAAGCCUUCGAUUUAUUUUAGCAACCUACUGGGGAACGGGCUUGUGUUGAUUGAGGGUGAAAAAUGGUUGAAGCGUCGGAAGCUUGCCAAUCAUGCUUUCCAUGGGGAAAGCUUAAAGGUCAGUCCUCAAAAUAUUUGUAUCGAUUGUAAUUAAUUUACAUGAACUAUACUUAUACUGCAAAAUUAAGGAUCUAUAAUUGUUGGCGAAAUCGUAUAUCGUUGCUUACAUAUUUUGGAGGAUUGUUUGGGUAGAACAUGACACCAGCAGUAAUUGCAAGUGUUGAAACAAUGCUAGAGAAAUGGAAAGGCCAAGAAGGCAAAGAGAUUGAAGUGUUUCAAGAAUUUAGAUUAUUGACUUCAGAAGUGAUAUCCAGGACAGCUUUUGGUAGCAAUUACUUGGAAGGGGAGAAGAUCCUUUCCAUGUUGAAAGAGUUGUCUGUAAUUAUGAGUCGAAAUAAUUUCAAGACUAGAAUUCCUCUCAUCAAGUAUGUUCCAAGAUUUUAACUAGUUUUCGAAUGCAAAUUUUAGGAUGUUUAUCCAUAUGGAUUCAGUUUUCUCCUUAUAUAUGGUUGACACAGCUGGUUUGUUUUUUACAGCAAGUUAUGGAAACCUGCUGAUAUGCUAAGGUCAGAAGAACUUGCAAAAGGAAUACAAGAUUGUGUGAUGAAGAUUGUUAAGAAAAGGGAAGACAAAUUUAAGAAAGGAGAAGCUGAUAGUUUUGGUAAUGAUUUUCUAGGAUUACUUGUAAAUUCCUAUCAUUCGAAAGAUAAUAACAGUCUAUCAAUGGAAGACUUGGUAGAUGAGUGCAAAACAUUUUACUUUGCUGGACAAGGAACUAUUAAUUCCUUACUAGCAUGGAUAGUCUUGCUUUUAGCAACCCAUGGAGAUUGGCAGGAGAAAGCUAGAAGAGAGGUGAUUGACAUAUUCGGUAACCGAAAUCCAGAUUCUGAAGGCAUUUCUAAACUCAAAAUUGUAAGUAUACUGUCCAACAUUCCAAAAUAUUUUGUAUCUCAAUCUCAGGUUUUUUAGUCAGGUCAUGUUUAUCGCAAUUGCAAAUUCAACAAAUACUAUGCAUUUAGUACAUUAUAUUCUUUAAUUUGACCAAGAGGAGUUGCAAGAGAAGUGCAGUUGGGAAAACUAGUCUUGCCUUCUAACAUAGAUCUUCUGGUCCAAAAUAUUGCACUUCACCAUGACCCUUACCUGUGGGGAGAUGAUGUGCAUCUUUUUAAACCAGAGAGAUUUGCAAAAGGGAUUGCCAAAUCUACCAAUUACAAUGCAGCUGCAUUUUUUCCCUUUGGAUUAGGACCUCGAUCUUGUGUUGGUAUGUCCUUUGCAACCACAGAAACGAAGAUUGUGCUCUCCAUGAUUCUACAACGCUACACCUUUACCCUCUCCCCUGCCUAUGUCCACUCACCAAUGCCUAUUGUCGACCUUCAACCGCAACAUGGAAUUCAAGUAAUACUUGAACCACUGCAUAACAAUGAUUGAUGUACACAACAGCUAAGGACAUGGGAUUCAACUCUGUUUGUUACAACAUUCACCUUUAAGAGGUAACAUUUAAGAUAUCCGGGGUUUUUAGUAUUAACAACCCCUUCCCUAUUCCUAAGCUACGCCCUCCUCUAAACAAAAAGAAAUCUAUGCAUUUGCUAGUUUCCUUAGAUGGUAAAACAUGUGAUUAAACAAUACAUCCUUCAUAUGGCGCAUAUUCCAGCAAGUAAACAGUUAUAUUAUAAUGCAUUUUACUUCACCAUUCUGCUCAUAUUUCAUUUGAAUUGCAGUGUUAUCAUCCUAAAGUCACUCUAGCAAGCAAUGAGGUUGCAAGUUUCUGAUAAAUUUAGUUCUAACAGACUACUUAAGCUAAUCCACCUUGGUGCUUUGUUUUCUUUUCCUAAACUAUAUUUUUUGCUAUUCCUAGCCCAUUUAAGCAUUCAGUUGGAAGAUGGUCGAGAGUUGUUAUAGCAUUCGGAAAGAAAAGGUUAGUGUGUGUUAAGUGACUGUGUGAGGCUAAGGUUAUGAUAAUCUUCAGAUUGGUUCUGCUUACAUUAUCUAUAAUAUAAAAUUUACUUUUUAAAAAGUUGUUUAACAAGCUUAUAGCUAAGAUAGGAUAUCCAAAUAAAAUAUAUUAACAAAAAGUAACGAACAAGUGUUGGGUGGAAUGAUAAUUGCAGUAUCAAGGGGAGAAACUUUUGAUGGAAAAAAGUGCUAGGUACCCGUAAUGUUCAGGCAAACCUUCUUCAUGUAAAACUUCGCCGGAAAGAUGAUUUCAUAGGGUUCUAUUUCGUCUUCAAUCCAAUCAUUGUUCACGUUUUUUUUUCUUAUCAAUAAAUAGAUCUAUUUACUUGUAUGACUUAGAUAUCUCGUAUCUCUCAAAAUAAUGGUUCGAUUGAUGAGAUUUGGUACGAUAUUUAUGAGAUCAAUGAUAUCGAUGAUAUUGAUAUUCAAAUAUUUCUUCUUAAAUCAUAUUGAUUUAACCCCAUAAGCAAGAACACCACCCCAUAAUGUUGCCUCCAAAAGCAGAACCUCGUAUUUCCUCUAGAGAAUCUCUUAAUUGUUCAAGAGUACCUAGAAUGAAAUUCUUUAAUUAGAAAGAAUUUAGUUUAGAUGUAGGAUAUCUAUCUAGAAGUUUUCGCAACUCAUGAUAUAGAAUCAUAAAAAAAAUUCUGACUUUUUAAACAAAUAGAUCACUUGGGUGUAGAAAAGAAAUAAUUAAUAAUAAAAAUUGGUAUAAUUAGAAAAGAAUAUCUUAAGAGUUCAUUUUGUUCUCACACUAACUUUUAAUAUUUAUAUAUUAUUUUAUAAAGAAAUAUUAUAAAAAAUUCUUUUAAAAAUUGAUAUUUUUAUAAUACAUCACUCAAUGUUGAAUACAUUUCAUUAAUAAACAAUAAUUAGCUUAAUUAUUAAGAGUUGAAUUAACUAUUUUUUAAUGAAGCAUUCUCUCUCUAAAAUCUCCAUCCUCACCACUAUUCUUAUCUAAUUCACCUUCAAGUUUUAAAAUCAAUGCUCUAUCAUGUUUUGAUUUUCUUUUAAAUUUAUUUUAAAUUUUAAAAAUUCCUUUUUUAAAAUCUCAAAUAUAUUACAUUUCACACUUUUAAGAAAAUAAUGUACGUUCAAACAUUGAAAAUGACAUAAUUAAAUAAGAUAAUCACGAAUCCUGAAAAUGAACCUAAAACGAUUUGUCCAAUUCAAAAUUUGGAAUGAUAGAAUCUUAAUAGAAAAUUUGACAUAAGUUUUUUGAAUAAUCUUAUUGAGGAAGAAAGAAGAUGGGACAAGAAUUACAAACUUCAUCAAGCCACUCAUUUUUCUGCUUUUGCUUCUUAUAUCAUGUUUGACGCUAUUUUGUCUUUUUUACUUGUAAAUUAGAAGAGAUGCUCCCAAUUAUUCAUUCAUCCUCUCAUAUUCAAUUGCUUAUUGUAAACUUAAUUUAAAGGAUCAAUGAUUUAUAUAAUCUCCAUGAAAUUUCUGUCACUAUUUUUUUUUAUUAUUUUUUUCUAGCCAUUGUUGACUAACUGCACCUGUUAGUGGUGAAAUGAAAAAUUUUUCAUUUUACACCCUUUAUAAUUUAUAAAAUUUUAAAUUAAUAAUAAUAAAAUUAUAUUUUGACUUCUCUAAAACUGAUAAAAAUUUAAUUUAAUCUUUCAAAAAUUAUAAAAUGUAAACUAUUAAAAUAAUGAAAUUACAUUUUUAGAUUAUAUAAACUAUUAAAAUUUCGAAUAUUUUGAUGUAAUUAAAAAUAAUUGUUUAAACUAUCCUUUUAAAAAUAUAUUUAAUAUCUUAAUAUAUAAAAAAUUCCGUAUUAAAAUUAAAAUAUUUAAAUAAUCAUGUUGUAUAUAUAUUGAAACACGUUUGAAUUUUAUAUAUCAAAAUAUAUUUUAAAUUAUCACGUGAACAAGCUAUAUUCUAUAAAAAGGAAACACGUAAUAUAUACUAUUUAAAUAAUCAUGUUUUUAAAUAAAUUACACUUUUGGUCCUUUUCUUUUUGAAAAUUUGUAGUUAUGUCACCUAACUUGAGAUUUUUUAUCACCGAAAUUUGUAAACCUAUUAAUAUAUUAUUUGAAUUAGAAUUUCUUGGUUCAGUACUUAAAAUUUUGUAGAUGUUCAAUGGAAUAUAUUUAUUCCAACUUUAAAUUUAAAGAAUAAAAAUAUAAUAAAGUAAAAGUUGAUAUAUAAUCUUAAUUUUGUAUAGACUAAUUUCAAACUCAAUGCUACCAACAACUCCUAGAAAUUAAGAGUACUAUCCACUAAUUAUAGCAAUAAACUUACAUGAGUGAGGGAUUUCUUGAAACAAUCAGCAACCAAUUUUGACUCUUUUUACCAAUUAUUUUAUAUAUUUAUUUGUAUUUUGAAGUUAACUUUAAAAUAUUCUAUAUAAAAUGAAUUUAAUAACAAUAAAUUGCCUUUUACGUUUACGAAAUUUGACCAAAUGAAAACGUUUCAAAGUGAAAGACAAUAUGGAAUCCAAAUUAUAGCUGAUGAAAUGUUAUUUCUUUUAAUUAUUAAAAACAUUAUAAUUAAGAGAUAUGAUUAUUUUAAUAAAUAGUUAUAAUUAUUAUUAAAAAAUUUCACUAUUUAAAUAGUGUUAUAAAUAUCUUAUUAAGUGGAUGUCCAUCAAGAUCAAUAUAAGUCUUUGAUGUACUUUCAAUUCUAAUAGCCAUUAGAAGUAGGUUUUGCAAAUAUUCUGAUUGAUCAAUAAAUUACGCUCUCUCUUUGUUCUCCUUCUUCUUUGUUCUUUGUCUUUUAUUUUAUAACACGUUAUCAUAACGAUUCUCUUUUAAUUGUUUUUCUCCAUAAGUCACAAAAAUAUCCAAAAUUUUAUUGUUAUCGAUUGCCUCCUAGAGUUGCUACGCGCACUAUGGGUAAUCAUUAGAGCCUUUAACCAAUGAGGUACACAUAAUUCUCUACAUUUUUUAUGUCCUUUUAUGUAAAAAAAAUUAUAUAAUUCUUACGUGGUAUGUUUUUCUCCUUUAUUUAUUGAUUUUUGGAAAAAUUAUUUUACAAAAAAAAGUAUUAUUACUUUAAGGUUUCUUUUAAACUAAGAUUCGCAUAAUAUUUAGAUGUUUAAAGAUUUGAUUAUUAAAUUCUUGUCAUUAAAUAUUCUUGUAAUAUGAUUAAAAUUAUAGUGGAAAGUGUUAUUAACCUACCAUAGUUGAUCUAUUGAGUCUUACUAACUUUCUAAUGUUGAAUGAUUGUAUUAUAUCUUUUAAAUUGAAUUUAUAAAUAUUUGAUUAGAAGCUUCAAAAGAUUAAUUUAUAACAUAUAUGUGGUAUUGAAAUUUGGUACAAUGUGUAUCAAAUAACUUUCAAGCAUCGUACACACAAACUAAAUGAUUUUUUUACUAUUAGAUUAUAAAUGUUAUUACAAAAACAAAAUUGUUUUACUACUUGUCAUAUUGCUCGUGAUAAUAGCCAAGGUGAUACAAUGAUGUUAAAGAAUCUCAGGUAUAUUUUAUUAUAAUUUAUUUAUUAUGCCAUGUUUAUUAUAAUUGGAGACUAAUCACGACAACAUGAAUAGAUAGAUUUUGAUUUAAAAUCCACGCAUGUUUUGCAAUGGUGAUUAUGAAAUAAAGAAUCAAUGGAGGCGUUUAGAAGUAUGCCCCACUAGAUUUGUUGCAUUCCUUGAAGUGAAUGUAAACAUAAAGAAAAUAAAAGAUAUAAUCAUGGAUCACUAAAAGUGGGAACAUAGUAAUAAAUAAGAGAACAAUGAGAGUUCUCCAGAUAACUCUUCAAAGGGUAAAUAUAACUUAUGUUAUCAAUGUGAUAUGAAAUAUUAUUGGCCACAUAUGUGGCGUAUCCCAAAUAUUUUGUUUCUGUUAAUAUUUUUGAGGAAGGAUAUGAGAAUGUAGAAAUAAAUUAUGUUAUUACAGAUAUAAAAUAUUUAUCUUAUUUGAUACUGAAACAAACAAAUAUUAUUCAAAUAUUUGGUAGUACAAAAUUAGUCGACAGCUCCAGAAGAGCUAAUAUAUUAAUAUCAUCCCCAAUGGUUAAUCCAUUGGUUUUAAAAACUAUUCAUUGUAAUGGAUCUCAUAUUGAUAUUGUAAAUGAGGAAAAAAUUAUAUUUCAUAUGAAUCACUGUUGCUAUAAAUAUCUAUUUUAAAAAGAUAAAAAAAAGGGAAGGAUUGAGUUAUUAAUUAAUCUUGUUAUUAAAUUGAAUUUAUUAUGACUAUCUUUGUGAUCUUUUGUCAUCAUCCCCAUUAAGGGGUUGAAAGCAAAAUAUUUAACUGUGAAAAAUCUACUUAUGAGCAAUAGAAUAUGGUAAUUCUAUCUAAAACUUGUUAUGGUUGGAUGCACUUGAAGUUGCAAGUUUUUUAAAACAAUGAGUAUAACUCUAUAGUAUUCAGAAUAAGAUCUUAAUUAAAAUCACGUGAAAAAAUAUUACUGAUGAGAAAUUGCAAGAGAGAAAACUUAUGUAUGAAAAAGUCAUUGGUUAUGUACCUGUUGUACACCUGGAAAAUAAAAUUCACUCUUAAAGCUUGCUAUUAAUAGAUUUUGGUUGGAUUCAAAGUCUACUACUGAAGUUUAAUUUGUUUACUUCUUGAUCAAAUCGUCAAGACUCAACGCAGAAAAAAAAAGGUACAUAUUAAAAUAUUAAAUCAACUUGAUAUAUGGUUUAAAGAUUUGAAAUGGUCUUCUUUUUAAGUUUUGAUUACAUGGGUUACAUAUUGUUUUCGGUAUCUUAUUUGUUCAUGAAAAUGACUAUUAACUGAUUUUAUAACAACCCAAAACUCGACCCAGAAGUUUUGACCAAAUUCCGGAGGUUUCAUUGGCCACCCGAAGUGGCGAAAGUAAAAACUCUGAAUUAAACAUAGAAAAUUAUUUUCGAAACCAUUUUGAUGACUAAUUAUAGCAAGUUAGAUAAAAACUUAGUUAUAUUUUGAAAACAAUGUUUACUUGGCGGCAAUGACUAAGUCAGGAAUAAACCAAAUUGGUCUUUCUUGAACAGUUUCAAAAGCAUCAAAUUUUAUCAAUCACAAACCAAAAUUCAAAACUGGAAACACAUAAUUUAACGAACAAUCCAAUUACAAAACCCAUACCACAUUUUAUAAACUCCCUUACAAAUAAACUAAAAAUAAUAAAUUGAAUUUAAGAAAUAUUGUUAAAACAAACCAAACUUUUUAAGUAUCCGAGACUUCUGAUAUGCCGAGUUCAACCUCCAAGCUCCAAGUUAACCUGAAAAGAGAGGAAACUAAGGGGAUAAGCUAUACGAGCUCAGUGUGAGACUGGAAGAGCGGUGAAGGCAAAAGACCGUAUACCAAAAUGGAUAUCUUAAAAGAAAUCUUGCAGACUAAGUGUGAAAGUCUUGAUCUGGUACUCAGACAUAUAAACAAUGUCAUUGCCAAACAUAACAUAAAGAUAAUAUACUUAACACACUAAUUACUUAAUCAUGUUAGACUACUUAAAUUAUUUCACAGAUGUGCUACUAUCCUUGCCAACAGACUUAUACUCAAAUAUGAAAAUGUAUGCAACAAACUAAAAACUCACCCAACCAACUGAACACCACUUCGUCCUUCCUGCACACCACACAAGGCUAUAAUAAUCCUAUCUACCCAGCACACCACAUAGGACCAUGAUAGGUCCAUCCACCCUACACAUCACAAAUGUGUAACUCAGCCACUAGAAUUAAAAUGUGCGGCUGAGCUGACAUAUGUAUAAAAUCAUGCAGUAACCCGCUAUACAAAAAUAUUGUAGUUGAACUGCUAAAUCAGUCUUCCUUCUCUUCACAACCAAAAUCCUAGAUUUUUAUGCAAAUGCAUGAAUGCACACAAUUCACUAACAGACUCAUCGAAAUAGAGACAUACUUUCGGUUGAAUACAUUCAGAAUCAAUUAUACUUGUAUUCAUUCACUAGGUAAUAUUUCAAAUCCAUUUAUCACAUCAUAUUAAUGCAUAAAUAAACAAUUAACUUUAAUCCUAUAAUUGCAAAUACACACACGGAUUUGAGCUGAAACAAAGUCCCAACACACUUACAGAGACCUUAACAAACAUUGGGCUACACAGAAAUUAAAACGAGUCAGUUUACAAAACAGGACAAAAAUUUGUGAAAUAGAGCCAUACGGCCGUGUGGAGGAAUUCAGACCACGUGAGGGGUCUACACGGCCGUAUGAAAGAGGGACAUGACAGUGUGUUGGAGACACACACCUGUGUGAUAGGGUUACAUAGUCGUGUGAGUAACCUGUGUAACUCACUGUGCAUUUGUGCAAAAUUUAGCAAAAUUUGAGAAGCAGAAUAGACACAGUUGUAUGGCCAACUCAAAUGCCCGUCUGGCUAAGAAACACGACUGUGUGUCCAAGGCAUAUGCUCGUGUAGAAAAUAAUUAAAUCCCCAAAUAUAGCCACACGACCAUUUGGCACACCCUAAUUUGUAUGACAAAAAAAUUACCCUAAUUUCGCAGUGACACACGGCCGUGUGGACCGCCCGUGUGGCUACCCAUGUGGUCACGAAACCACACCGAAACAGGUUGAAAAUCGUGAAUUUACGACAGCAAAACAAUUCCUAAUCACUAAUAGUUUAGAAACAUACCUUAAAUCGGGACUCCGAUCACUAAUAACUGAUUGUUUCGCCUCCACAAAACCAUUCUAGAAACUCAAUUACAAUUACCCACAAAAUAUUUUAAAACCUCAGUCAACAAUAUUAAAGAAUCAAGAAAAUCAAACUAAAAUUUAAAAGGAGUACUUACACAUUUCAGCACUAAAACUAAUGAACAUGCAAAUCUCCUAACAAAGCAACCAAAACCAAGGCCCCAAUGAACCACCAAAAUAGCGCAAAACUAGCAAACCUUAAUAACCUAAUGGUAACAAGAGAAACUAAAGAACUAGAGAAUAAAGGCACCACAAAAACUCAAUGGCCAAAAAGAAUCAAAAAUUGAAACUGGAAAUGAAAUAGAGGAAAAACAACGUGUGAAAGAGAAAAGAGAAAAAUAAAUAAAAUCAACGAACCUACCUUAUAUGUGAAGGAAUAAGGAAAGGAGACCAUGCUGAUACUAUCCUUAUAUGUUGACGAUCUGUUAGAAAUUGGCAUUAGUGGAAACCUGCUAGUUGAGUUCAAGAAACAAAUGCGAGCUGAAUUUGAAAUGUUUGAUCUUGGAGACAUGACUUAUUUUCUUGGUCUAAAACUAUUUCAGUCAGAUCAAGGUAUCUUCAUCAAUCAAAAGAGCUUUGCCUUGAAGAUAUUGAAUAGAUUUUGUAUGGAAAAUUGAAAGCCUGUAGGGACUCCCAUUGCUCAAGGUGAAAAACUCCCAAGCCAUGGUUAAUUUGAAAUAGUUUAUGAAGGCAGUUAUAGGAGCCUUAUAGGAUGUUUGUUUUAUUUGACAGCAUCGUGGCUAGAUAUUAUCUUUUCUGUCAGUCUUUUUUAAAUAUUUAUGCAUUGUUGUAAUGUGAUCCAUUUUAAAGCUACGAAGAGGGUUCUAAGGUAUGUCAAAGGAACUUUGAGUUAUGGAGUUGAAUAUGUGAAGGAAAGGAGCUAAAGUUGACUGAUUUCACAAAUAGUGAUUGGGCUGGUUCUGUCGAACAUAUGAAGAGCACUUCAGGGUACUUCCUCACUUUGAGAUCAAGUGUAUUCAUUUAGAGCUCAAGGAAGCAAGAAACUGUUGCACAAUCAACCGCUGAAAUUGAGUACAUCGCAAUAACUGCAGAGCAAGCCAAACACUUUGGCUAAGAAAGUUGAUGUCUGAUUUAAAUCUUAAGUAAGUCGAAGCAACAGAGAUAUAUUGUGACAAUCAAUCUGUUGUUGCAAUUUGAAAGAACCCUAUCUUCCAUGACAAGGCAAAACACUUCAAGAUAAAAUACCACUUUGUUAGAGAGGUCGAGCAAUAAAAUGAAGUGAAGCUUGUUCAUUGCAGUUCAGAUAUUCAACUUGCUGAUAUUCUCACAAAACCUCUUGAAAAGUUGAGGUUCGAGAGGCUAAGACAUGAUAUUGGAGUUUGCGGCAUUAUGGCCAAGGAGGAGUGUUGUGAAGUGGGGAUUCAUACAGUGGCGAACUCAAAAGGCACGAGCUCAAACAAGUCUGCGAGCUCUACACUUCUAAGCUCAUCCAAAGUUGUGAGCUUACCUAAAGAUGCGAGCUCAACUCAAGUUGCGAGCACGUCAAAGUGUGAGCUAUUAAGUUUUUUGGUGAAACCCCAGUUAAAGUGCGAGCAGGGUUCACAUAUGUUGAUAUCAAUGUUUUUUUGUUUAGUCUACAUAGGGUGAGUUUGGAUGAGCGGUGCGUUUAUCUGCGGUUAGUGUAAAAACAGUGGUGGUGAGAUUAGAUACUGUAGCGAUACUGUAGCGUGAGACAAAAAGUAAGCUAAACGCACCGCACCGCACGCAAUCGCCCAUCCAAACCCACCCUUAUUUGAGUUUACUUGUCAAAGCAAAUAGAGUUAGUAUUGAUUUGAUGUUUUUAAGUAUUGAUUUCUUAACUUAUUAAUGUAAUUCAUGUGAAUUGAAAGAUGACAAAUUUGAUAGCAGUUCAUAAAUUAGCCAAGUAUUUUUCCUUAUUUUCUCUCUUAUUUUGUUAUGCUCUCUCAACUUCUCGAAACACCAGCAGCAUCCUUGUCAUCAUUUUAAUAUAUCUUUAUAAACUUUAAAUAAUUAAAUAAAAUUUUUAUCAUUUAAAUAAAUUUUUUAUCAUUUUUGAGAUCAAAGUACAAUUUUACCCUUAUUAAUUUAAAAUUUUAUAAAGUAUAUCACAUUAGAUUACCAUUUAAAUCCUUUGUUAAGUUUGGCUAUAAAACUAAAGGCGCAUAUGGAUUCAGUGGUAAGAGAAGAAAAAAAGAGUGACUUGAUGGAGCUUGUAAUUCUUGUCCCAUGUUGUUUCUUCCUCGUAGCUUUACUAAAGUUCCUUUAUGAUUACCUGUGGGUACCUCUCCGUAUACAGCGUAUGAUGAAUUCACAGGGAAUCAAAGGACCUCCUUACAGAUUCAUCCAUGGAAACAGCAAGGAAGUUGCCAGAAUGGAACAAGAAGCAUUAAGCAAACGUAUGGCCUUAACAGAUGAUAUAUUUCCCAAAGUACUGCCACAUUUUUACACCUGGAUCAACAGAUAUGGUAAGAUCCAUGCAUGUUUUUUCAUUAUGAUUUAUAACUCGUAGUUCUAAGAAAAGAUUGACCUUUUUCUUUUCAAGUGAUUAGGGAGGAAUUUUGUUUAUUGGAACGGUGCGCGACCUGAAUUGGUGAUUUCAGAGCCUGAAUUAAUCAAAGAGGUUCUGCAAACUAGUGAAAAAAAAAUUCAAGAAAAGAGCCUUUCAGAUAUUGGUAAGGAGUUCCUGGGGAAUGGGCUUCUAUUCAUUGCGGGGGAAAAAUGGGCAAAGCAUCGAAAGCUAGCCAAUCACGCUUUCCAUGGGGAAAGCCUUAAGGUAAAUCCUCCAGUAUGAUUAAUUGACAAGAAUUAUACAGACUACAGAAUUUUGUAUUGUUGCCUAACAACCAGUUUAUAGUCGAAGUUGAAAGUAUUCGUAGAAAAGUAUUUUUUUAACCUCAAUAGUAAGCAAAGUCUAAAUAGUAUGUGGCAACUACUUAUAUAUUGAAGGAUUGUUUGGGCAGAACAUGACUCCAGCAAUAAUUGCUAGCGUUGAAACAAUGCUAGAAAAGUGGAAAGGUCAAGAAGGCAGAGAGAUUGAAGUGUUGAAAGAAUUUAGGUUAUUGACUUCAGAAGUGAUUUCCAGAACAGCUUUUGGUAGCAGUUACUUAGAAGGGGAGAAGAUUUUUGCCAUGUUACAGAAGUUGACAAUAAUUAUGAGUCGAAAUCUUUUUAAGACUAGAAUUCCUUUGAUCAGGUAUCUUCCCUAUAAGCUUAAUUAAUCCCAACUUUUACCUUGAUUUCAGCUAGCUUUUGAAUGCAACUUUUGGACUUUCAUUCCCAUGGAUUUGGUUUUCUCCUUAUAUAUAGCUGACCAUUGUUUGCUUUUGCAGCAAGUUGUGGAAAUCUUCUGAUUUGCUAGAGUCUGAAAAACUUUCAAAAGAAAUAAAAGAUCGUGUGAUGAAGAUUGUUAAGAAAAGAGAAGACGAAGCUGUGAAUGGAGAAGUCAAUAGCUUUGGCAAUGAUUUUCUUGGAUUACUUGUAAAUGCCUAUCAUGAUUCGGACGAGAAAAACAGGUUUUCAUUGGAAGACUUGUUAGCUGAAUGCAAAACAUUCUAUUUUUCUGGACAAGAAACUGUUAAUUCCUUACUUUCAUGGAUAGUCUUGCAUUUGGCAAUCCACGGAGAUUGGCAAGAAAAAGCGAGAAGAGAGGUGAUUGACAUAUUUGGUAACCAAAAUCCGCAUCUCGAAGGCGUCGCCAAACUCAAAAUAGUAAGAAAACUAUCUAACUGGGAAUUCAAAUAGCCAUCAACAUGAUGUAAUCUAACAUAUUUUUCUAUUUUCCAAACAGACGACCAUGAUCAUCAAUGAAACUCUAAGAUUGUAUGGUCCAUCAAAUGGCCUGGCAAGAGCAGUUACAAGAGAUGUUCAGUUGGGAAAGCUACUCUUGCCUGCUAAUAUAAGUAUUCUGCCUUUAUAUAUUGGAAUUCACCAUGACCCUCACUUUUGGGGAGAUGAUGUGCAUCAUUUUAAACCCGAGAGAUUCGCUGAAGGGAUUGCGAAAGCUACCAAUUAUACCGCGGCUGCAUUUCUUCCCUUCGGGUUGGGACCUCGAUCUUGUGUUGGUAUGACAUUUGCAACAAUAGAAACCAAGAUUGUUCUCUCCAUGAUUCUACAACGUUACACCAUUACCCUCUCCCCUGCCUAUAUCCACUCUCCGAUAUCCAUUCUCAGCAUUAGACCACAACAUGAAAUUCAGGUGAUACUUGAACCACUGCAUCAUAAUGCUUGAAGUACAUAGCUGUUAAGAACUAAGGGUUUAACGUGGUUCAUGUAUUUUAGGUUUAAGAGAUGACAUUUAAUAUGUUUAAGGUUCCAGCAUUUGCAUCCCCUUCCCUAUCCUAAGCUAUACCCACCUUUAUACAUAAUGAAAUUCAAGUAGCUACUGAUUUCCAAGAUGGUAAAACGCAAUCAAUAAAGAAGAAUAUGUUGAGGCAAGUUUCGGGAACAGUGACUUGAAAACUGACAACUGCACUCGGCACGUGUCCCUUAUUUGUUAGCAUGUUUAAAAUAAAUAUUUUAAAAUAAAUAUUUUAAUUAUUUGCUUGCAUCUUUUUAAAGAUUUUGUACAUUCUUAAACUAAUGGUUAUACUAAGGCUUGUUAGCGGUUUAAACUUUGGGCAAAGCACAAUAGACGUAGAUAUGUUCUCCCUCAUUGGUGUCGAAUUUACUAAAAAUAAAUUCUUCUACUUGAUACUGAAAUUAAAUUUAUAAUAUAGAGAGUAAAGUCGAUCCCACAUAAGUUAAUCUAUCCAAAUAUAUAUUCUUUAUAACUAGAACGUGUCCCAAGUAGUUUUUAUGCCCAUGACUUGUGCGAACCUGUACCAAAAAUAAGAGGGGAUAAAAUCUGAAAAAUAAAUAAACAACCGAAAUUAAUUAAAAAUAAAAAUAAAGUAGAAAUAAGUAAAAUGAAAUAAUAUUAUUGAAUUAAAUAAUUUCAGUUUUUAUAAAAAAAAUUUAUCAUACACACCUGGAAAAUAUGAAACACAUGGUUAAAUCUUAUUGGCUUCUGGACUAAAAAUAUUAAAUAAAAGAAAGUUUUGGGUAAAAACAAUUUAAACAUGAAUGUGAGAAAGUGAGUAUAGUUUAAGAGCUAAAAUAUGAAUAAAGUCUAAAUAAAUUCCUAAAAUAUAAAAAUUCAUAAAUACAUUAAUGUGAUUAUAUAUAAUCAAAAUUAAAUAUUAAAAUCAAACUAAAUAUGAUUUAAACUUGAAUGAAACUCGUAAUUCUCGUAAAAUUCUUAUUCAAAAAUAAGUUUUUGAACUCGAAAUAAGAAAAUAAAUUUAUUAAAAGAGGAAACCACUGGAUGAUACAAGUCCUUGCAAGAGCAAUUACAAAAUCUGCUGAACUGCACAAUUAACAUACACCAAUAUGACAUCACCACAAGAAAAGCACACUUUACCAAUGCCAGAAAACCAUAGCCCGGAGCAGAAAACAAGAAGCGAGAGAGCAAGUUAUAUCUGAAAACAAGCACUACUACGAAACCCUUCUCAACAUGGCAAACACCACAUCAGAAACUAAGACAAACAGCAGCUCCACCCAUAAUCCAGAACCAAGCAACUAACUAUAGUGAUCGCCCUUGCUUAAAAAAAACAAAGAAAACUUUACAUAGAUCAACGAGUAAGCAUUGGACCUCACCCCAAGUAAGAAAACGAUCCAUCAAACCUUGAAAAAGCUUUAGACACCAUCACUUAUCAGUAGAUAAGAAACCUAAAACAGAGCCAACACCAGCAACACCUUAUCAAGACCAACAGCCUAGAAAAAAUCUCAAUGGAACCGAUAUCAAACGAAACUCAAUGCCAUAUCGGCUCCCAUAAAACUUUCAAACCACCCCACUGUAGCUCUUAAGACUGACGAUAACCAUACUUUAAAAUCACCAAAGCAUCCACUUCGAGAGACACCUUCAACCAUAACACAAUGAAUAGACUCAAAUUCAAUUCUAUAAUCACAACAUACAAAAAAAGACAGAAGCCAUAUUCAAUAAAAUAACAGCCUCAACCAAUCAGUAGGCCCAUAAAAGGCACAAAACACCAUAAUGCAUCAUCCAACCUCAACAACAUAGGGUUUGUUUAUCAUGGUGUUAUAAUCAAUAUUGGGUUCAAACCCACUAUAAGUAUAUUUUUAUUGAUUUUUAUUAUCUAGAAGAGUAGAUAUUAUACACGAACAUUUUAGUUAUUAGAUAUUUGUAAUAUUAAUGGUAAGGAUGUUGACAUGUGUCAACAAUUCAAUGGCCGCUAAACCUUAUAAAUAGGGAUAGUAGUUUUCAUUUCUGGUACCUAUGUGCAACAGAGAAGUGUGUGUCAUAUUGUAAUUGUAUUGUGCAUUAAUAAAGUGUUCUUUCCUCUUAUAAUUGUAAGUCCCGGCUAAGCCUUAGUUUUCUAAGCACUUAGUGCACUUGAGGAGUUAGCUUCUAUAUAUGGUUGGUUCUACAGUUUGAAUGAUAUAUGAUCGGCUCUGCCGCUUGAAUAAUAUAUGAUCAGCCCUGUUGCCUUAGUAUUAUAGUGCAUUAAGAAGUUAGAAAAUAAAAGGUUAACCGGCUCAAAAAAUUCGUUGGAAUAUUUCUUGUAGGUCUUAGGUCUUCUAUAAUGGGUGUGUUGGGCUCAUCGAGUUCCCAACAACAAAUUUUAGGAUGUUUAUUCCUAUGGAUUUAGUUUUCUCCUUAUAUAUGGUUGACAUUAGUUUGCUUUUACAGCAAGUUAUGGAAACGCGUUGAUAUGCUGAAGUCAGAAGAACUUGCAAAAGGAAUUCAAGAUUGUGUGAUGAAAAUUGUUAAGCAAAGAGAAGACAAAUUUGUGAAUGGAGAAGCUGACAGCUUUGGCAAUGAUUUUUUAGGAUUACUUGUAAAUGCAUAUCAUGAUUCGGAUGAAAAUAACAGGCUUUCAAUGGAAGACUUGGUAGAUGAGUGCAAAACAUUCUACUUUGCCGGACAGGAAACUGUUAAUUCCUUACUUGCUUGGAUAGUCUUGCUUUUAGCAACUCACGGAGAUUGGCAGGAUAAAGCUAGAAGAGAGGUGAUUGACAUAUUCGGUAACCGAAAUCCAGAUUCCAAAGGCAUUUCUAAACUCAAAACUGUAAGUAAAUUGUCAAAUAUUCCUAUAUAUUUUUUAUCUCAAUCUCAAAGCUGGUGUUUCAAUCACGUCUUGUUUAUCGCAAUCACAAAUGUAACAAAUAUUAUGUGUUUAGUACAUAUUCUUUAAUUUAAUCUGACCUAUUCUUGUUUUGCAAACAGAUUACUAUGAUUAUUUAUGAAACACUAAGAUUGUAUGGUCCAUCAAAUGGCUUGCAAAGAAGAGUUACAAGAAAAGUUCAGUUGGGAAAGCUAGUCUUGCCUGCUAAUAUAGAUAUUCUGGUUCAAAAUAUUGCACUUCACCAUGAGCCUCACCAGUGGGGAGACGAUGUACAUCUUUUUAAACCAGAGAGAUUUGAAGAAGGGAUUGCCAAAGCUACCAACUACAAUGCUGCUGCAUUUUUUACCUUCGGAUUGGGACCUCGAUCUUGUAUUGGUAUGUCCUUUGCAAUCACGGAAACUAAGGUUGCAAUCUCCAUGAUUCUACAACGCUACACCAUUACCCUCUCCCCUACCUAUGUCCACUCACCAAUGCCUAUUCUCGCCAUUCGACCACAACAUGGAAUUCAAGUAAUACUUGAGUCACUGCAUAACAAUGCUUAAAGUACACAAUAGCUAAGGGACUUGAGGUUUAACUCAAUUUGUUUAUGUAUUCACCUUUAGGUGUUAAAAUUUAAUAUAUGUGGCACUUUUAACAUUAGUAACCCCUUCCUAUUCCUAUGCUAUACCCUACUCAACGCAAAAACAUGGUAAAACAUGCAAUCCAUAAAUAUAUAUAUAUAUAUAUAUAUGUGUGUGUGUGUGUAUGUGUGUUUCAGUAUUGUUGAUCAAUAUAUAAUUUUUACUAGCUAUGCCUUAUUUCAUUUGAAUUGCAGUAUUACAUCCUAAAGCCUUUCCAGCAAGCAAUAGCAGCAAGAAUUAAACUAAGUUGUGAACAUCGAUACAUUGUACGAUAGGCUUGAUCAAGAGCAUUAGCCAAACAACAGCAGCAAACAUAUCCCAUAGAUGCCACUUGAUAUCAAACACCAUAGAUACCACUCGAUAUCAAGCACCACCAUGAAUUAAACAUGGGUCUCCUCUUGAUUCUAGGUUUAACGAACGACUCUGCCAUGCCAUUCCUCUCACAAUUUACAUGAUGAAAAAGCACCGAACCAAUCUCAAUCACAAUUCAAUGAAUGUCAGAAAAAUACCCCGAAGCUUCCUGUUGGGGUUAUCAGGACAUAGAACAAGGAAGCAAGAUGCAUGAAAUAUUUUUACUUGCUCACAAUCUUGCAGCAAGGGAGAUUAUGGCUGAUAGCUCAUUUUGCUCAUUCAUUCAACUAGAAAACAAUACAUUUAUAACCAAAUACAUCACUAAAUACUGCCUACUACCACUAAGUAGCCUAGUAACUUGUUAACAUUGCUUGUGCACAUAAACAAGCCACCUAAACUAGUCAUUCAACUACCUAAACACUUCAAGCUUUUAUCAGCUUGUUCAUUUUCAACUAAUUUAAUUACAAUGUAACUAAACAAAAAACUUGUUAAUGCAGCAUGCACAAGAGCUGCAACAUGCAAAUAGCUUGCAUGCACUUUAAAAAAAAUAUAACAACAGCAUGGUUGGCCACUUUUCAACACUUCCAUGGUCUUUCAGAUUUGUUUUUUAUACCAACAAUCAGACCAUUAGCGUAGCAUCUUUUCGAUUGGAUAAAAAGAGCAAGAGUAUGCUUAAUUGCUGCAAUUUCCGCAAGUCCAUUAUCUUACCUAAAUUCUCCACGAUCAAUUAUCUCGUUAAAUUCUUUACUGCCUUCAAUAUUACCACUACAGUCUAUUCUUUCGCUUCUAUCUUGAACUACGUUAAAAUCGCCCAGCACACCCAAUUACCAUUGUGAGAGCUUCUCAGGUCCAAGACCUUCUACCAUAGCACUUUUUGAUCAAUUACAGAACACGAAGCAUAUAAAUUUUGGAUCCAACACUCAAAGAAUCAAUAUCCCAGACGACCAAGAGACCUCUUGAGCGUCCAAUUGAAGGGGAGAAAGAGAAUCCAAAAACAUCAUAAGGCCACAAAGAUCUAAUCUUCUGAUCCUUCACACUCACCAUUUUACUUCCAUGAAGACAGUUCGUGUCCAAUUUAUUAAGAACUACUGCUAGUCUCACCACUUUGUACUUAAUUUUAGCACCAAUACCCCUGAUAUUCCAAGAUAGGAUCGACAUUUGGAUCAAAGGCAAUAAAGCCACAAAAAACACUAGCAAGCAUAAACACAACCAAAAUUUAAAGAAAACAGAAACCGAUGAAAAUACCAACCAAAAACCUGCAACACACCAGACCUGCAGCAUAUUGAAUCGACAUUCUUAACCAAGUUUCUAUCGUUGCAUUCUAAAGUAAUCAACUUUACCUAGUCUUCACAAUUCGCAGACAACCCCAAAAGCUUUCCCACAUUCCAAGUUCCUUCGCCACUUGACUCAAGGUUCUUCGCCUAUUCUGCAGAUCUGAGUCAGUGAGAAUCUGACUAGCAAAUCUAUCACUCUAGUUUGAGUUUUCCAACCCCUUCUUUUACUAGUUCUUAUCCGCUCUUUCCCAAAAGAUAUCUUCAAUGUCGUCGGUGGAUUUCAACCUUCUCUCCUUCUUAGUAGCAACAACGACAAUUUCCCAAUCUAAAAGUUACCACAUAUGUCUUCACCUGGACUAGAAGAAGAGAACACCUUCUCCAUAGCCCUCCUUGCAUUAUAGUCCACCAGGCAAGAUUGGCCCACAUCAGUAUUCACCUCAUUUUUGAUCCAUUCAACUUUGGGUCAGAAGGGAACCCAUCUUGAAUGUUCUCCCCAUUUAAGUCAAAACGGUGUGUAUCUUAAAUAGUAAUUGACUAAGAUAAAUCUUCAUUUCUAGAAAUUUUUUACCCAGCUGUACUAAAGCACCUCUGAGCAUCCUCGUACAAAGAUCUUUCUUUGGUUUCUAUGCCGCCCGCAUUUGACAUCUCUAAGAACUGCUCAUCGAGUGCAUAUCCUCUCUCCCUCCCCCCCUGUGCUCUCGUCAUUUAGAAUCUAAAUCGCUAUCUUCUCAUUGUCAUAGUAACGACUAGCUAACUCAUCGGAACCGAUAUCGGUGAAGAAAGAAAAGGGGUCGAAGCUAUAACACAACCGACAACUCAAGGACAUCACUAAAUUCCAUUACUAUGAUGUCGAGAAAAUUCAGCAUAUUUAAUAAUACAAUGAGAUUUAUAUUAUAUAUUUUCAAUUUUUUUAAUACUCAUUUUGUACAUUCAAAAUUUUUAAAAUUAACUGUAUCGAGGAGUGUUUAUCACAAUUUAUUAAUAUGAUACAGUACAAAUUUUAAAUAUGUAAAAUAUCGUAGUUAUACAUAUAUGCAACAAAUUUUAUUCGAAGAAAAAAUUUAACUACUAAUUAGAUUCAUUUAAUUAUUAAUUAUGCUGUCUAUGAGACAUGUUUCCUUUCCCUUAAGAAAUAUUAAUUAAAUAAUAAAUUUAUCAAGUGUACGAUAGGUAAAUAACUAACUACUUUUCAUAAAUUCUCUUUUCUUUCAAGGGUGGUAUUGAGAACUCUAAUUGUUCUCUUAUUUGUCUAUUUCUUUCCACUUCUAAUGACCAAAAGUAAUUAUUACUAAUAAGAUAUCCAAGAAUCAAGUAAUAAGUGUCACAAUUCACAAUGCCUAGAACUAUCUAUAGUGAUCUCUUCUCAAUCCAUAAUUAGGAGGAUAAUGCACUUCAGCACACUUAAACCAACAUACUCCUGCAUUGACAAUAAUACCUAUACUAAUCGAGUUAAGACUUAAUCGGUAAAACUUAAGUAUAAUUGAGUGACUGACGAUGUUGCUUGUUCUUCCAUAACACAAUAAUGAUUCUUUUAUUAUUUAUGCUCAAUUGAUUUUUUUUCCCUGUCAAUGCUAAUAAUUUUAUUUUGUAAUAAUAUAUUUCUAACAACCUAGGUCAUUCAUCCUAAUACUAUUCUCGCUCAAGCACAAGAGAAUUCUGAUAUAAUUUGGUGCAUUAAUAUUAGUAUCAUCUCACCCUCAAAAACGUAUAAAUAAUGACUAAAUUAUUUCAAGCCUCCUCAUUAAUGGUAAGACAUUACAGCACAGAUAUGAUAUUUUACCUUAUCUACGAAGGAACAAAAGGAAAGAUGACAACCAUAUCCCACUCAAUUACCAUUUAAAUGCUUUGUUAAAUAUGGAAAUCACAAUAGAAUAACUAAAGGAGCAACUGGAUUCAGUGUUGAGAGAAGGAAAAAUGAGUGGCUUGAUGGAGCUUGUGAUUCUUGUCGCGUGUUGUUUCUUCCUCGUAACUUUAAUCAAGUUCCUUUACGAUUAUCUGUGGAUACCUCUGCGUAUACAGGAUAUACUGAAUUCACAGGGAAUCAAAGGACCUCCUAUCAGAUUCAUCCAUGGCAACAACAAGGAAAUUGCCAAAAUGAAACAAGAAGCAUUAGGCAAACCUGUGGCCUGGACAGAUGAUUUAUUUCCCAGACUACAGCCACAUAUUUACAGCUGGAUCAACAGAUAUGGUAAGAUCCAUGCAGUUUUUUUUCACUAAGAUUUAUAACUCGUAGUUCUAAGAAAGAUUGAUCCUUUUUCUUUUUAUGUGAUUAGGGAAGAACUUUGUUUAUUGGGACGGUGCUCGAGCUGAAUUGGUGAUUUCUGAGCCUGAACUUGUUAAAGAGGUUUUGAAAAAUAGUAAAAAUAUUUUUCAAAAAGUGAAGCUUCCAGAAAUUAGUAGGAAGCUCAUGGGGAAUGGGCUUGCGUUCACUGAGGGGGAAAAAUGGGCAAAGUAUCGAAAGCUAGCCAAUCACACUUUCCAUGGGGAAAGCCUAAAGGUAAAUCCUCCAAAUAUAUAAACUUGGUGUAAUUAAUUUACGAGAAUUAUACACACACUACAAUAUUUUAGUAAAGUUUUGUAUUGUUUGCUAAGGAUGAGUUUCUCAUCGAAGUUAAGAAGUAUCGUGAAAAAAUAUUUUUCAAAAGUUUGAUUAUGUUUACCACAUAAAAUGUUAGAUAUAAAUUAAAAAAAGUAAUUUCAUUGAAAGCAUUAUUCCAAAAAAAAAAAACAAAAUAAUUAUUUUUUGGCUUUCUAGCUUAGAAUAAAAUCUAAUUUGAAUUCAUGCAUGGUUUUGUGUUGAAAAGUGUUUUCCAUCGCUACUACUUACAUAUUGGAGGAUUCUUUGGACAGAACAUGACUCCAGCAAUGAUUGCUAGUGUUGAAACAAUGCUAGAAAAGUGGAAGGGCCAAGAAGGCCAGGAGAUUGAAGUGUUUCAAGAAUUUAGAUUAUUGACUUCAGAAGUGAUUUCCAAAACAGCAUUUGGUAGCAGUUACUUGGAGGGGGAGAAGAUUUUUGCCCUGCUGUACAAGUUGAAAAUACUUGUUAAUCUAAAUAUGUCCAAGACUACAAUUCCUUUCAUCAAGUAUGUUCCCUAUAACCUUAGUUAAUCCCAAGUUUUUCCUUUAUUUCAAUUAGCUUUUGAAUGCAAAUUUUGGACUUUUAUUCCCCAUAGCUUUUGGUUUUCUCCUUAUAUAUAGCUUACCAUAGUUUGCUUUUCCAGCAAGCUAUGGAAAUCUACUGAUUUGCUAGAGUCUGAAAAACUUGCAAAAGGAAUACAAGAUUGUGUAAUAAAGAUUGUUAAGAAGAGAGAAGACCAAGUUGUGAAUGGGGAAGCCGAUAGCUUCGGCAAUGAUUUUUUUGGAUUACUUGUAGAUGCCUAUAAUGAUUUGGAUGAGAAAAAUAAGCUUUCAUUGCAAGACCUGGUAGAUGAAUGUAAAACUUUCUACAUUGCCGGACAAGAAACAGUUAAUUCCCUACUGGGAUGGAUAGUCUUGCAUUUGGCAAUCUAUGGAGAUUGGCAAGAAAAAGCAAGAAGGGAGGUGAUUGACAUAUUUGGUAACCAAAAUCCUCAUCUCGAAGGCAUCACCAAACUUAAAACAGUAAGCAAACAAUCAAACCAAGAUUUUAAAUAGCCUUCACAACAUGAUGUAAUCUAACAUAUUUUCUAUUUUGCAAACAGAUGACCAUGAUCAUCAAUGAAACUCUAAGAUUGUAUGGUCCGUCAAAUGGCUUGGCAAGAACAGUUGCAAGAGAAGUACAGUUGGGAAAGUUAGUCUUGCCUGCUAAAUUAGAUAUUCUGCCUCUAAAUAUUGGACUUCACCGUGACCCUCACUUGUGGGGGGAUAAUGUGCAUCUUUUUAAACCAGAGAGAUUUGCCGACGGGAUUGCCAAAGCUACCAAUUACACCGCGGCUGCAUUUUUGCCCUUCGGAUUGGGUCCUCGAUCUUGUGUUGGUAUGACAUUUGCAACAAUAGAAACCAAGAUUGCUCUGUCCAUGAUUCUACAACGUUACACCAUUACUCUUUCCCCUGCCUAUGUCCACUCUCCAAUACUUAUUCUCACCGUUCGACCACAACAUGGAAUUCAAGUAAUAAUUGAACCGCUACAUAAUAAUUUUUGAAUUACAUAGCUAUUAAGAGAUGACAAUUAAUAUAUCUAAGGUUCUAGCUUUUACUGCCCCUUCUCUAUUCCUAAGCUAUUCCCACCUUUAUAUAUAAUGAUAUGCAAGUAGCUACCGGUUUCCCAUAUGGUAAAACAUGCAAUCAAUAAAAAAGAAUGUGUUAAGGCAAGUUUUAGGAGUAGUGACUCAAGAUGUGACUGUUACACUUGGCACUACGCAAGCCACAAAAUUUUCCUUAUUUGUUGGUAAUUUUGACCCAAAUAUUUUGAUUAUUUGCUUGCAUCUUUUUUAGAAUUUGAUGCGGUCGUUGAAAGCACAAAAAAUAUCUUAUCCCUAAUAAAUAAUGAAAAAGAAUAGUAAAAGGGAAGUUGGGUCAAAUCCUUAGGGACUGAACUUGCAAAAUAUCUUGCUCCGUAAAAUCCUAGGCAAAAUCUUGCCCAAGAAAACUUGGGUACCUGAAAAAAAUAAAAUAAAAAAAUAACAUAAUUAAAUGUUUGGAUUUGAAAACGAAAAAUAAAAUAAAAACAAAUUUAAGAAUAUUGAAUCUAAAAUUAGAGAAAUUAAAAAUAGAAUUGAGAGAAAAGAAAUUCUUAUGGGAGAUUCCAGCCUCCAGUUGUCUCGUUCCGCCUUGGGUUCAAUCCUCGGCUUUUAGAUGAUCCUUCCCAAACCCAAUAAGCCAGUUAUAGUGGAAGAGGACGCCUACGACCACCAGCUCCAAGGAUUUAGACUUACGAUUUAGUGGAAUUUGACUCUAGCCAACAAUCACUUCUGUGGGAUCGUCUUAUGCUAGAUCAACGCUUCUCAAUGGCAAAUCCCACGCCAUUUUGUCUCUUGGGCUCGCCAACCUCUGACGCAGUAAGCUAACGAACCGACUGUGCAACCUUCCCAAAACAUACAAAGCGGCCGCCUUUGCAUACGUUGAAAAACUUACUUUUUAAGGGACAUGGACGGAAGCGUCAGCCCCGUAGUGCGGAGAAACGAAGAAUACUCAGCGAGGAGGCUAAGUACGAAUUCUAAGCCUCAUGAACUCUUUUGGGGAUUUUUGACAACCUUCGGCUAGAUGGGUUUAGUGGCUCAUGGUUGUGGUAGAAAAGAAAAUAAAUAAAUAAAAAUAAAGAUUUUAUUAAAAAGAAAUAUGAGAAGAACAAAAGCCUAAACUUUUGGGGAGAAAGUGUUUUCAGAAAAAUAUCUGGAUCCCCUUUUGAGUCACUUCACCCCCUAUUUAUAGUGCUAGGGGAGAUAGUCUAAUCCUACUUAAAUUCCUAAAAGAUAAAUACAUUUAAUUGAAGAUAAAUAAAGAUAAAAUAAAAUCCUAAAAAUAAUCCUUAAUAAUUAUCUCAAUAUUAAUUAUCCUAAUAUAAUUAAAAUAAAGUUUAAUAGAAUAAAAUCUCUUCUUUUUGCAUUUCAACCCUUGUGUCCUCCAUGCUUGCACUUUUGGCACCAACUUUUCCUCUUGUGUCGCACAUUGGCCCAUUUUAUCUCUAAAUUCACGCUUUUGGCCCUAAAUUUUGCUUUUGCCUCAAAUUUAGUCCCUAUGAGAUAAAAGAUCAUAAAUAGCUCAAAUUAGCAAGAUCAUACUCAGAAUAAAUACAUAAUUAAUACAUAAAAAUACAUUAUUCUAGAGUGUUAUCAGAAUAUUGUUUAGAUAAUCUCGUGUUUAUUAUUAAAGAAGAGAUUGAAUCAAAUAAAAUUACUUUUCAAGGAUUCUUAUGUGGCCUACUUACCUUAUAUACUAAGAUAUGCAAUCCAAGAAGAUGUAGACUAACUUUAUGAUAUUUUAUAUCCUUAUAUUAAUGAUAAUUGAUUUGAUGAGAUUUUGAUAAAUCAAGAUGAAUUAAAAGUUACUUUGUGAAGGUGGGUUUGUGCUCUAAAUAUGGAAGGUGUAAGGCCCAAUAUUUGCCCGGCUCAUAAACCAAAAAAUAAGCCAGUUAAAAGCCCAUGAAUCAAAAAAUAAUAAUACAAAAACAAAAUUAAUAAUAGUCUAAAUGUCCAUUUACAGACAUCAAACCCAAUCAACCCAAUUGGCCUAGAUCCUAGCCCAAACCUAAACCCGAUUCUAAUGCCCAUCAGCCAACCCCAGCCCAAUGGCCCAAAUCCACCGAAACCCUAGCCUUCUUUAGCAGCAUUCACCCCCCAACCGCCGCAACAAUGGCCUCCUCUCCCUAGCCACGCGCACCUCACGCACGUAGCGCCAUCACGAGCCUCCAGUUGGCCUCGUACGGCCUCGCACCUGCAACAACCUGCAGCGAACGCAACAAACAAAGCAGGGGCAGACCAAAACAACAGAAAAUGAUAGCAAAAAGGGCAGAAAUAGUAGGAUAUUCUUGGGGAACUUUUUUCAUUUUUUCGGCAAUAAAAAGGCCAUUUUCCAGCAUUUGUAAGGGAGGGGGGAACGCAUAUUGUAGAACAUACGCAGAAAAUCAAUACAAAAGAAAGAAAAAAAAAAGGUUUUCUUUUCCUUCCACUUUCUUUUCUUCUCCGAUGGUUUUUUUCUUAUCGUUUGUUAUUAGCCUUAUAUAAGUCUAUAUAUAUAGAGCAAAUAACAGAAAGAGGGAGAAGUUAGAACUCUUACCUGGCCGCCGGAUCUCUGACCAUCUCCGUCGCCAUCGGAGUCUCGGCAGGGGUCGAGAGCGCAAGAGAGGCGCAGAGAGGAGAGCGUUUAAGUUCUCUAUUUUUUUUUGUUUUUUUAUUUAUUUUAUUUUUCUUUUAUUUUUUCUCUUUCUUUUCGUUUUGAAAGAAUGAAAGGAUGCCUAUCAGAUUAGGGUUUUAACUUUGGCCCUUAUGGGAUGUGAAACGACGCCGUUUGGAGUCUGAUCAGUGGCUCCAAAACGGUGCCAUAUUGGAGCCAUGACCCGAUAACCCGAUCCGAUCGUGGCUUGACCUGCGUGUUUUGAAAAGGGAGGGUUAUUUGCGCUCCAAGUCCUCCUUGUUUGUGUUUGGUUUCAAGUUGGUUUAUGCUGCUUCUUUUAAAUUUGGCCUGUCAUUUCAUUUCUGUUUCAUUUUAGUCCGUGUUGAAACGCUGGGUGUUAGGGUGGGGAUUAUUUCCUGAUUGGUCAUUCGCCCUUUUAGCGCGUUUUAUUUUGGUCCCUGGACCAUUCUUUUAGUUAUUUACAGCUUUAAUCUCGAAAUUCAUCUUAAUUUUUAAUUUAGUCUUUUUAUUAUUCUGUUUAUUUUUUAUUUAUUUUUAUUUAAAAUUAAUAAGUUUAAUAUUAUCACCAUUGGUAUUACUAUUAUUGCCAUAUUUCUAUUUAUUUGUUUAGCUAAAUGUAAAUAUCUUUAAAUAUCUUUAUUAUUAUUAUUUUUUACCCACUUAUACUGUUUUUAAACUUUGUUUUAUAUAUAUAUAUAUACUUAUAUAUAUUUUUAUAUUCUAAUCUAUAUGCAUUUUUAUUUAUAUAUAUAUGUAUAUACAUGGGACUUCUAUAUUUUAUAUUCUAUAAUCUAUAUGCAUUUUUAUUUAUAUAUAUAUGUAUAUACAUGCGACUUCUAUACUUUAUAAUUUUUUUAAAUAUAUAUAUAUAUAUAUAUAUAUAUAUAUGCACGUAUACAUUUUUAUAACCUAUACAUAUAUUUAACAAUUCCUAAAUAUAUAUUUUUAUGUUCUAUUGUUUUAAAUAUGUACAUACUUAUAUUUUCAUAUAUAUUUCUAUAAUUUAUAUAUAUUAAUAUAUCAAUACACAUUUUAAUUUCACGAAUAUAUAUAUACUUACAUGCUUUUUUAUCUUACAAAUUUUUUAUACCUAUAUAUACAUAUAUAUAUUACUCUUGUAAUUUUAUUCAUUUCUUUAUUUAUCUUUUAUUUAUAUUUUCAUCAUCAUUUAGAAUGAAUGUUUUAAUUUUAUUGCUUAUAUGUUUGCAAUUGUGUAUUUUAUUAGUUUGUCUUUGUAUUUAUUUUACUUCGUAGCCCUCGUUUGUAUUAUUUUGCUUACAUCAUCAUCAUUCCAUUACGCCCAUUUUAUUUAGAUUUUCAAAAAAAAAGAAAUUUAAAAAAAAUAUAAGUAAUAAUCGGUAUUUGGGAUCUUCGAAAGAAUCAAGCCCUAACGUAUUGGGUUCCGAUUUUCUUCGUUGAAUCUAAAUAAUCAAGAUUUUCUUUACAUACAAAUUUCAAAUAACCCAUUCUCGGGAAUUCGACACGUUGUGUCCUAACGCAUUGGAUAUGACAUGUUAUUUUCUCGAGACGAGGAUUUUUCUAACAAAGGCAAUAUUCGAUAUUUAGGGAUAUUGUGAAAUCAAGCCCUAACUUACUGGGUCUUGAUUUUCUCAUUUAAUUCAAAUAAUCGGAUAACCUUCUUAAAACGCAUGGGUUUUAAAAGUCAAGAGAUAAAUUUAAUUUUGAAGAUUUAAAAUGUUGCACUCUAACUUACUGAGUGUGACGAUUUAUUUCUUUGAAAUAAGUGAAUCUCAUCGUCUAAUUCAUUUUAUCCAAAAGAAAAGGAUCGUAUUUUAAAAUCUUUUCAAAAUUUCGACAUUAAGACGUUAAACAAUCAAUUCGGUACCAAUUUUGGGCGUUACGAGGGUGCUAACCCUUCCUCGUGCGUAACCGACUCCCGGACCUAUUUUCUCAGAAAUUCGCAAACCUAAAAUUAUUUUCAAGGUGACCCGAUCACACCUUAAUAAUAAAAGAUCGGUGGCGGCUCCCAAUUUUCAUUUUCAAAAGUCGAUCCACGGUUUUCUAAAAUGGUUUCGAUAGAAGGCUUGUUCAACCUUGAUAAAUGUUUUAUCAUUGAGGUAGACUUUUUUGAAGUAGUUGCCAAAGUGCCAAUGGUAGUGUCCUUCGUAUCUAGCACUACAACAAGCAACAAAACUUGUCAUUUUUGGUGUUGAAAAUCUUUUCCACAAAAUCAAUUGGGCAAUGACUUGUGGACGUGUGCUGGUACACGGUUUACAAAUUGAUUUUCAUGAUAUUUGAAUGUAUUUGAAAAUGUUUACAAAUUGGUACCAAAGAUGAGAAAGGAUCGAAUUGUAAAAUGAUGUUUAGAAAUGUGUACUAAGCCCGAAUGAACAUAUGAUAGGAUACAAUUGGCAUGCCAAUAGGGGCAUUUCGCACGCUGUAUGGGUUUGAUAUGUGAUGAGGUAAUGAUGUGCUGAUCACACUGAUUGUAUCAAAAUUUAGCAUUUAUUGCGAAUUAUUAAGUUAUAGUUACAGUGAUUCAGGUGUAUUUUGGGGGGAGGAUGUGUAGCCUAUAAGCUUGGCACUCAGUGCCGAGGUGUGUUUCUGGAGGGAUGUAUAGUCUACAGGCUUGACACUUAGUGCCCAAGUGUGUUCAUCAAUGGUAUGGCUCGUUUGAGCAAUCAUAUGUGUUUUAAGUGGUUACCCAUGUAUUCGUAUUUGUUCAUUAUAGUUCAUCAAGUUAACGGUUUUUAUAAAUGGGACAUUGGUUGAAUAGUAAUAAAUAUAAUAUAAUAAAUGAUAGAUGAAUGAUGUAAAGUUUGCUUAUGUUCAAUGGUUAGUUGACAUGAUAUUGAUUUGGAUCAAUUUGUAUAAUAUGGAAUGAUAUGACUUAAAUGUGAUGAACUCACUGUUGAUAUGAAUUGUGGUAAUAGGAUAAAUCGUUUAGUUAAUUGUUUUGUCAUGUAAUUGUGGGAAUUAAGGUAAGUUACAUUGUUUUAAACCUAUGAACUUACUAAGCUUAUUUAAAGCAUACUCUGUUUCAUUUUCUAUUUCUUGUAGUUAACAUUUUGCAGAACUAGGUGAUAGGAUCAUCUCGAAGGUCAUACUAUCCAACCUCCACUUUGGUAGACUUUUAAACCAUUAAACUCGGUGAUGUGGCAUGUAAUAGGAGUUGAUUUGUAAAUACAUGUUUUGUUGAAGUUGAGUGUUAAAUGGUGAUGUAUAAUUGUAUAUAUGUUUGUUAGCAAGUUGAUAUGCUAACUUUUGACUUGAAUGAUAGCAUUUGAAUGUAAUGUUUUGGUGAUAGGGUCAUUUAUGCGUGAUGAUAAUUUGGUGUUUGGAUUUCAUAUAAGGCAUAUAUGUGAUCAUAAUCUAAUUGACAUGAGAUAAGAUUAAUUACUUGAAUUGAUGCAUGUUAUAUUAUGGUGCUAUUGAGGCAUAUUAAUUAGAUUCUAGGGAUCAUGGUUUGUGAUUUAUUUUGGCAUGAAAUUGUACAUUUUGGAUGAGUUAUCAAGUGGAUAGUUAUUAUGCAUAACUUAGGUGAUGAAUUGAUUUUGAUAGUUUGUUGAAAAAGGUACCUUUUUUGUAUACACAGGCUAACACACGGCCAAAUAUUACACACGGGUAAGUGACAUGGUCGUAUGCUUUGUUUUUAAUUGGGAGGUUUUGGGUUACACAGUUCCAAUUUGUUACAUGGGGUGACCACACGCCCAUGUGAUACUGUAGAUUUGGUCAUUAGAAUUUCCACACGGUUUUAGUCUCUCUCACAGCCUAGCCACACGGCCGUGUGAUUGUUUGUAAGUUUUUGCAUUUAGGUUUCCACGAUUUCAUUGAGUUACACGGCCAGGUUACACGACCAUGUGACUCGAAUUUCGCACGGUCACCGAUUGUAACACGGCCUAAGCACACAACCAUGUAACCCUGUAUUGCAAAUUUCUCCUUGAUGUUUAAAAGUUUGUAAUUAAGUCUUUAUUUGUUUCUAGGUUGGUUUAAGAGCUUUCAUAAGCUUGAUUGAGACUCGUAAUUGUUUGUAGGUCAUAUUAUAAAUGAACUAUAAAUUGUUUUGUUGUUUCAUUGAAUGUUAAAGUUAGAAAUGUAUGUGAUUUAUUCAGUUAACUGUUGUAGAAUCCUGUAGCUCGGGCCCGACAACCGGACCGGGUGAGGGGUGUUACUUACCAAUAAUGAUGAUCAAGUGGAAUGUUCCAAGAAGUAUGUUUUGAUCCUUGUUGAAAUCUCUAACCAUCAAGUUAUUUUUUCAUUAUUGUGGAGCUCUUGGUCAUAUUAGACCUAAAUACUUUAACAUGUUGAAAGAUUAAUGGUGGAAGCAAGUAGUGGCAGAACCAACGCCCACUGCUCCUAUCACUGCUCCAGGUCAAGGGUAAAAAUCUAUAUGAGGGAGAAUGAGAGGUCAUCUCAUGGAUUUGAUGAACAUAAGAAGAGAAACUGGGUUAUCUGUCAUUAUUGUAAUAUGGUUGGUCAUAUCAAACCGCAUUGUUAUAAGAUGUUGAAUGACCUGAUAUGACAAUUGUUUGAAGACAAGUUGCAACUCAAUCAAGAUACAACUAGAAACAUGUAUGGGUGAGAAAAGAUUGACAAUUGAUUGAUGUAUGUUAGAAUCGUGAAGUGGAAACUGACGCAACAACUUUUGAAAAUCAAGAUGAAAAUAUUUAUGCUCUCUAGAGAUCUUGUGGUAAAAAUCCUUGUUGCUCCAUGAGUUAUAACUCUCACCUACAGAGCUAUUGAUAAGUUAGCAUCCAUUGCACCCUAUGUUGAAACACCUUAUUGAGGGGGAGUGUGUUAAUGCUACAAUUAAGGGGGAGUUUCUUCUUUGCCAUGCUUUUUGUUAUUGAUUCUGUUUAUUCAUGAUGUUGCCUACAUGUUAUUACUUUAUGUAAUUGAUAAAACUUUAGCUUAUGGAGAUGUCGAGAAGAGCGGCAACCUUGGCCAAACUGCUAGGUAAUGCCAUAAUAUAACCCAUGGCCCAUCCAUUAGCACCUUUGAGUAAUCAUCGUCAUCCUGAAACUUGAUCAAGUAAAAAUCUUUCUUCAAAUCCAUUAAUUGAAUGGAUUUAUUCAGCUUUCAGAGUACAUACACCUUGUUAGAGAAAGCAUUAAAAGUUAUGCGUCGGCCCAAAAGUUUGAUGUUGACAGUACCCACACCAUUACGCUUCUCAAUAAAUUUGUGAACCUGAUUUGAAAAACUAAUAGAAGGUAUUCCAUCAACAUUGGUCGUUGUGAUGUCCCCCUCAUGGAACUCAAAAUCAUCAUCUUGUGAAACACUAGAAUGAUGUAAUGAAGAACCCAAAAAACGUGUCCUUAAAGGAUGUCCUAGGCAUCAUUGGUUCCUUCAUCUGCAAACCAUUCCCAUCAACCAUCGGAUCAUCAAUAUCCGGUGGCUCAUCCGGUCGCCUCCAUACCUUCUUGGUUGUCUGACCAAAGUUGACACUGGAAGUAGCGGAGUUGGAGCCAAUCACAAAAGCACCUCUGGAGAAAUUCUAUAACAUGUAAGUCAUUUAAUCAAUAAGAUAAAUCAAUAAUCAAUAAUCGCUAUAUGAUUAUUUUAAUACUCGUAAGUACCUGCUGCUCCAAAAUAAUAAUAAUUAAGCCUAGACCUGAAUUUGAUCUGCUCCAACAAUUUGUUUCAUUACUAAUCUAUUAAUAAAAUGUUGAAAAAUAUAUUUUUUAUAUUAAUAUGAUCAUUAAAUUUAUAUUAUUUUUAUUUUUUAAAUUGAAUUUAGGUGAGAUGAAUGAAAACUAAUAUUAAAAAGGUCAUAAUUUUCUAUUAGAUCUUGUACUUUGCGUAAGUUAUGGAUUUAGUACUUAUACUUUAAUUUGGUUAUUUUCAGUCCUUGUACUUUUAAAUUUGAAAAUUUUAGUCAUGACCAAAUGAUUUAUUUUUAAAAAUUGAUGUGUCAAACAUAGUGUCACAUAUGUAAUGCUAUGUUUGUUUGUUAUUUUCACAUUUUAUUCACAAAAAAUUAAGUAAUAGAUUUAACGACCGUCAUUUGCAUUAAGAUUAAAAUUUUGAAAUUCAAAAAAAUCUAAUUGGUGAGUAUGGACUAAAUCUAUAACUUUAUGCAUAAUACAUGAAUAAUGACAUAAUUUAAUCAAAUAAAUUUAACUGUUACCAUUAAAUCAGGGCUACAAUUUCAAAAUUCAAAAUAAAUAAGAAUUAAAAUUAAAGUCUGAAGUUUAAUAUCAUAUUAGACCUAUAAAAAAAAACUCUCCGUCUAAAGUCUAAUCCAAGCCGGGCGUCCUACUCGGCAUGUGAACAAAACUACUCAUAAGGCGCGAUAGACAUUGAUGUUUUAACUUAUAUAAUAAUAUGUCUGACUUAUACUUCCAACUAAUCUUUAUGUUGUUCGAAGGAUCCAAAAGGAAAAAAGGACACUAACCCAUAUCCAGGAAUUGCUGACACGUUUUUUUUUGUCUCUUGUUUUUUUAAUGAUUGAGACAAGACUAAUACGACGGAGUUAAUUAUUGUGAUGAUAACUACCGAUUAUUAAAAAACCCCUUAAAUUACAAGGAGCAUCUGUUAUUGAGACUACAAGGAGCAUCUAAGUUCAGAAUUAAGACAAGCAAAAUGAGUGGCUUGAUGGAGCUUGUAAUUCUUGUCCCAUGUUGUUUCUUCCUCGUAGCUUUAAUAAAGUUCCUUUAUGAUUACCUGUGGGUACCUCUCCGUAUACAGCAUCUGAUGAAUUCACAGGGAAUCAAAGGACCUCCUUACAAAUUCAUCCAUGGAAACAAUGAAGAAGCUACCAAGAUGAGACAAGAAGCAUUAAGCAAACCUAUGGCCUUGAAGCAUGAUAUAUUUCCUAGAGUGCAGCCACAUGUUUACACCUGGAUCAACAGAUAUGGUAAGAUCCAUGCAUAUUUUUCACUAUAGUGUUCCAAUAUAGUAGUAAAUGAAAAUUUGUAAGUAAUUAAAAGUUGACUUGGUUACUAAUAAAAGUUGUUUAUUCAAAAGUGAUGCAGUUACUUGAUUAUUAAUAAAAAAAAUUAGGAUUAUUUUAGUAAUAAAUAAUGAACAAUUGUAUUUAUUUUUAACAAAUAAACAUCUAUUAAAUAGUUAUAUUUUUAUAAGUAGACAUUAGAAUUCGUAUAGAUAAGAGAGAAAUUUCAUUUUUAUAUGCUAAAAACCCAAAAACAAAGAAUUUAUCCAUUCUCCUUCAUCUUCAAAUAUUCAAAGGUUGUUUUAUCAAGAACUAUUGCAGAAGUUUUUAUAGAAUAUGAUACUUUUCCUAAUGUUCAGUGUACUAUUUUCAUUAAUAUAAAAAAGUGGCGUUGGUUAAUUUUUAUAAGUUUAUUUGUAUUCUUACCCACCAGUUCUAUUAAAUAGUUAUAACAAAAUUGACCCGUCAAAAGUCUUUGCUUCAUUCUCGUUACACGACAAUGAGCAAAGAGGGUCUUUGCUUCAUUCUCGUUACACGACAAUGAGCAAAGAGGAGCAGCUGUAACAGGUCAAUUUUGACCUAGGCCUAAAGACCCAAAACAAAUGAAAAUAACCCAAAAAUUACAGCCCAAAGCCCAGUAAAUUAAAAUUUGUUUCAGCAAAAAAACCUAGCCCUAGCCGCAUGCACACCUCUGCCAGGUGCGCCGCUCCAGCUCCUCACACGCCGCCGCCGCCCAAGACUCGCCUACCACCGGUCGUCCACGCGUCUGACACCUGCGAAAAUUAAAUAUAAUGGCAAAAAGGAAGCACGCGAGCAAUAAUAAUAGUUAACAGAUAAUAAAGAAGAAGAAAUCAUUUUGAUUCGGGUAUAAAAGCCCGAAUCUCACCGUUGUUUUUUUUUACGAACACACAUCAGUGAAUCAAGAAAUACAGAACUGAGAUUCUAAAAGGUUGAUAGAAAUCUGAUUAUUUUCUUUAGUUUUUUCUGAUUUCCGUUUCUUAUCAUCUAUCAUUUAUUUAUUUCAUUUAUUUAUCUACGCAUUUUUUACGAAAUUUUUACAAAGAAAACGUGAAAAUAAAAAGGGAAGAGGGGACUUACCGAGGAAGCGCCGGGAUCCAGCUCACGGAGGGUUCUCCUCCUUUGCGACCGCCGGAUCUAGAGGGUGCUGAGAAUCUUCCUCUUUUCUUUUUUAAGGUUGAAGGGUUCAGCCCUCGGGGUAUUCUAAGGCCGAGGUCUUUGACCUCUUUUCCUCCGUCGUCGGCCACCGGUCUUCAUGGCUGCGGCGGCGGUGCACUGGAGGCUAAGAAACCCAAGGGUCGGUGUUUGAAAAAAAGGGAAUGAUUUUGAAACUAAAAAAGGAAAAAGAAAACAGAGGCAAGAAUGAGAAUUUU
rnacentral:lncRNA from 1 species